rnacentral:tRNA from 1 species
GCCCGGGUAGCUCAGUUGGUAGAGCAGAGGACUGAAAAUCCUCGUGUCGCUGGUUCGAUUCCGGCCUCGGGCA